AGUAGGGUACCUAGGUACGGUCACUACACAGACUGACAGACACUACUCACUACGGUGUACUACGUUAAAACAUUGCUAUUGGUGAUACGAAAGAGACGUGACGAAUAAGAUGCGGUUGAGCGCGUUGGUUGUGGCGUUGCUAAUGGCAACGGCGUGCGAGGCCAUGACUCUGGAGGAACUCAGCAACAUGGUCAUGAACAACCCGGAGCAGCUGUGUGACGUAACAACAUGCCAGGAGCCCUACUCCGCAUCUGAGUGCCCCCCGGGCACACAUUACCUGGACGGGUAUGCGGUGGGAGGAUGCUGUGGUGCAUGCGUUCGCUUCCAGCAGGAAGGUGAAGCCUGCACUGGGAGAAUAGACGAUCGGAUUUGUCAGAACAAGGGAGAGGACGUACCUCAGGGCUACGGCAUGUGUGAUGGGGUCGCAGCUACACGAGCUGUUCGUAGCUCCAUCAUGUCAAGAGCGGCCACCGGCGGGAUUGACUCACUUAAUCUGAUUUUUGAGUCACCUUUUGACUUGCUACCAGUCGACAACAUCCUCAGCAGCUCCUGGUGUGACUACGGCAUGUACUGCACCAACAAAAAAUGCGCUAUUCAAAACGACUGGGUGACUUGCAAGAUCACGAGCGACGCCUACGACCGCGACCUGAGCAGCGGCAACUACAUAAGUUACCGCGACGACUACCGCUACCGCCCCCAGUGCUCAGCUGACGGCAGGACUUUCGCGCCCAAGCAGUGCAAGAGCUCCCCUCAAGAUAGUACAAAAACUUGCGUGUGCGUCGACCCCAACGGUAACACCAUCGAAGGCAAAGCGUUCAGCUUCCAGAAGGAGCUUUUCGAGGACAUGAACUGCUUGUGCGCUCGGCGUCAGUGGGAGCUACAGCAGAUUGACCCGUCCCUGGCGACGCUGCACUGCCUAACUAACGGCAACUACGAGCGCGUCCAGUGCGAGGGCGGCUGGUGCUACUGCGUGCAUCCUGAGAACGGCACUGUUUACGGCUACCAGAUGCCGGAACCUGCUAUGAACCUGCUCAAGUGCUUCAACAAGACACAGAUCGGUGACCUGUACCUGCGUCAGUGCGAGAGCCGGGCUCACGCCCACCAAGUCUUCGUGUCGACCAUGAGGAACAAGGGGGUCCAAGUGCCCCCCUCCGACCCCGUCGCCUGCUCCAUAGAGGGGGCGUAUGCCACCCGUCAGUGUGUCGGCAGUGGCUGUACGUGCAAGAACAAAUACAAUGCAGACUGUCUCAGCAAAGGCGAGAAAAAUUGCAACUGCAUCGCGGACAGAUUGGCAUUCCUGGAGAGCGGCGUUUCCUACGACAUGCUACAGUGUGGCGAGAGUCAGGGCGGCUACUACGAGCCUGUGCAGAAGUGGAAAAGCCUGCAGGCUCUCUUCUAUGUGGAUGAUGAUGGCAUACGCAAGGGUCCUGUGAUGUCGGAGGGCUGCGAGACCUACAUGAAGCAGGACAAUAUGGCCUCCUGCCAGGUGCUUGGGAAUUUAAUCGACCCAAGCCAGCCUAAUCCCAACAGCUGGACAUAUUGUGACGAGGUGUGCACAAACGGCCAGGGGGGCGGGGCGACCCUCUGCCAACCAUCCAAUUACCUCUACAACUCCGGCAACUUCGCACCCAGCAGCAGCUCAUGUCCCUAGGGGCAGGGUGCAAUUCUGGGAAUGCUGGCUGGUUCAUGUAUUAAAGAUGGAUCCAGUCUUGUAACUUGAUCAGUUAAAAACAUUAGCAAAAUAAAAAAUCAACUAUUAGAUUUCCGGGUCCGAUAAGUUCUAUGCACUUGUUAAUAUAUUAUCCCUUCUUAAUUUCAAUAUGUUCCUAGGAUCCUAGCUAUAGCCGAUUGGUUCAAUGUGUACCUUCGGUGCUGUUUUCGGUCACGUUCUGGGCGGUUGAUGUUGUAGUCCAGGUUUGAAUAACAUCACGAACAAAAAGAAUGUAAGAGAACCCAUUUAUAUAAUUCGAGCAAGAACAGGCUAAACCUGAAGCUCGAAAUGUUUUCUUAUUUGUAAAUGAUAAUGAUUCAGUGAUCAAGUGAUCAUAUUGUUUGAUUUAGUGUUAUGGAGAGAAGCAUGUCUGUUGCUACGCGACUAUCAAGCCACCAAGUCGACGGCUGUGACUGACUGACACUUUAUUUGUCAAUUGUACGUCGCGGGUUUGCCAGCGCGUAGUUCUUACUUGAUAAGGCGUGUAGUUUCUACUUGAAAUGGCGCGUAGUUUCUACUUGACAUGGCACGUGUGUCACUGUGUUGUGUCACAGUUUUUCAAUUGAUCGUUGGAAAAAGUGGAUAGUGAUCAGCAGCUGAAGCGAUGUCGUCGCAUUGGAUGACGAGUAACCAGUUAUAUUAUUGUUAAUAGGAUAUUAUGAUUAUUAUAUGAUAAAUAUACGACAACCAUAUGUCAUGAUCCUGACUUGCGGUCCAUCGUGAUAUAGUAUUCCAAUUGUGGUAUGGAUGAACUUACGUGUGGAUGAGGUCACGUGUAGAUGAGGUCACGUGUGAAUGAGGUCACGUGUGGAUGAGGUCACGUGUGAAUGAGGUCCCGUGUGGAUGAGGUCCCGUGUGGAUGAGGUCCCGUGUGGAUGAGGUCCCGUGUGGAUGAAGUCCCGUGAGGAUGAAGUCCCGUGUGGAUGAAGUCCCGUGUAGAUGAAGUCCCGUGUGGAUGAGGUCCCGUGUGGAUGAGGUCCCGUGUGGAUGAGGUCCCGUGUGGAUGAGGUCCCGUGUGGAUGAGGUCCCGUGUGGAUGAGGUCCCGUGUGGAUAAGGUCCCGUGUGGAUGAGGUCCCGUGUGGAUGAGGUCCCGUGUGGAUAAGGUCCCGUGUGGAUGAGGUCCCGUAUGGAUGAUUUCAGUUGAGCUGAUAUUGUGUAAGACCGACGUCAUCUGAGCGAUAAGUUAUUGAAAUUUAAUUAGGGCGCUGAGCCUUAAAUGUUACCUGUUUUCGCUUCAAGCAAAUAAUGAUGUAGAAAUAUUACCCUAAAAGAUUUUUACGUUAAUGAUUUUGAAUUUAUCAAAUCUGUUGUAUGUUUCCGGGGGUGGAAAAUGAAAAAAGUUCUUUCUGAUUCUAUUUCCUUGUAUAUUCGUAAGUUGUUCCUUCGCAUAUAUUAAAAAAAUUGUUUCAUAUUAAAA
rnacentral:misc_RNA from 1 species